GGGGUUGUAGCUCUGUGGCAGAGCACUUGCCUAGCACGUGUGAGGCACUGAGUUCGAUUUUCAGCACCACA
rnacentral:tRNA from 1 species